rnacentral:rRNA from 1 species
CAAGUCGAACGAAUCCCGGGGGCAACCCCGGGGGAAGUGGCGAAAGGGGCAGUAAGGCAUGGGUAACUUGCCCCGGGGAUCGGGAUAGCCUUCCCAACGGAAGGGUAAUACCGAGCGUCGUGAGCGGGAGGCAUCUCUGGCUCACGAAAGGAAUCUCGCCCCGGGAGAGGCUCAUGUAACAUUAGCUCGUUGGCGGGGUAACGGCCCACCAAGGCCAUGAUGUUUAGCGGGUGUGAGAGCACGACCCGCGCCACUGGCACUGAGACACUGGCCAGACUCCUACGGGAGGCUGCAGUCGAGAAUCUUCGGCAAUGGGCGCAAGCCUGACCGAGCGACGCCGCGUGUGCGAUGAAGGCCCUCGGGUUGUAAAGCACUGUCGAGGGGGAGAAAGCCGCAAGGUUGAUCGACCCCUGGAGGAAGCACGGGCUAAGUUCGUGCCAGCAGCCGCGGUAAGACGAACCGUGCGAACGUUAUUCGGAAUCACUGGGCUUAAAGGGCGCGUAGGCGGGCGGCCGAGUCGGAGGUGAAAGCCUGCAGCUCAACUGCAGAAGUGCCCCCGAUACUGGUCGUCUCGAGUGAGGUAGGGGCAUGCGGAACUUCCGGUGGAGCGGUGAAAUGCGUAGAUAUCGGAAGGAACGCCGGUGGCGAAAGCGGCGUGCUGGACCUCAACUGACGCUGAGGCGCGAAAGCCAGGGGAGCGAACGGGAUUAGAUACCCCGGUAGUCCUGGCCCUAAACGAUGGGUACUAGGUAGUGGACUUACAUGGGUUCACUGCCGAAGCAAAAGUGUUAAGUACCCCGCCCUGGGGAGUAUGGUCGCAAGGGCUGAAACUCAAA